CAGUAACCGAAAGCAAUUUUACUCUUUUUUGGACGACAAUGGCGAUGACGGCCAUCACUCAAGUAUAUUGCUCUCACUGUCGCUGCUACAACAAGGCGGCCAUAAAAGCUGACUACCUAUCGUGUUCGACUUGUGGAAAAUCGAUAUGCAAGGCCAAUGUAAAGGGAAUUCUGAGGUUGCAGUUGGUAAGGAUGAAGAUUACUUCUCCAAGGUUUAAAAGAUCCGGGAGAGCUCUUUCGCCAUUAGAGGAGGAGACUGUAGCUCAAAUAUUUAGCGAUUUGAAGAUGUAAAUAUGACCUGUUUCUUCAACCAUCAAAGGCUAAUUUUCUUG